UAGAGUUUGAUCAUGGCUCAGAACGUACGCUGGCGGCACGCCUAACACAUGCAAGUCGAACGCAGUAGCAAUACUGAGUGGCAAACGGGUGAGUAUAAUGUGGGAAUCUGCCUUUUGGUUUGGAAUAACACGGGGAAACUUGUGCUAAUACCGAAUAAGCCUUUACAGGGAAAGUUUUAACGCCGAAAGAUGAGCCCGCACUUGAUUAGCUAGUUGGUAAGGUAAAAGCUUACCAAGGCAAUGAUCAAUAGCUGUUCUUAGAGGAAGACCAGCCACAUUGGGACUGAGACACGGCCCAGACUCCUACGGGAGGCAGCAGUGGGGAAUCUUGCACAAUGGGGGAAACCCUGAUGCAGCGAUGCCGCGUGAGUGAAGAAGGCCCUUGGGUUGUAAAACUCUUUCGUCGGGGAAGAAAAUGACUGUACCCGAAUAAGAAGGUCCGGCUAACUUCGUGCCAGCAGCCGCGGUAAUACGAAGGGACCUAGCGUAGUUCGGAAUUACUGGGCUUAAAGAGCUCGUAGGUGGUCAAAAAAGUUGAUGGUGAAAUCCCAAGGCUCAACCUUGGAACUGCCAUCAAAACUUUUUAGCUAGAGUGUGAUAGAGGUAAGUGGAAUUUCUAGUGUAGAGGUGAAAUUCGUAGAUAUUAGAAAGAACACCAAAUG
rnacentral:rRNA from 1 species